rnacentral:rRNA from 1 species
ACGAAGAGGUAUCGUAAUUGAAGAGGUUUGGAAAGACCCACCACAGAAGGUAAUAGUCCUGUAUGUUAAACGAGAAGACUUCAGAUAUGAUCCAGAGUACCACGGGACACGUGAAACCCUGUGGGAAGCAGGAGGGACCACCCUCCAAGGCUAAAUACUACCUAGUGACCGAUAGCGUAUAGUACCGUGAGGGAAAGGUGAAAAGAACCCCGGGAGGGGAGUGAAAUAGAACCUGAAACCCUGCACUUACAAGCUGUGGAAGCACAUUUCUUGUGUGACCGCGUACUUUUUGUAGAACGGGCCAACGAGUUACGUUAAGUAG